GGGGGCGUGGCGAAACGGCAUACGCAUCGGACUUAAAAUCCGCCGCCUUCGGGCUUGUGGGUUCGAAUCCCACCGCCCCUACCA
rnacentral:tRNA from 2 species